GUGAGGAAUAUUGGUCAAUGGACGGAAGUCUGAACCAGCCAUGCCGCGUGCAGGAAUAAGGUCCUAUGGAUUGUAAACUGCUUUUAUUCGGGAAUAAACCUCUUUACGUGUAGGGAGCUGAAGGUACCGAAGGAAUAAGCACCGGCUAACUCCGUGCCAGCAGCCGCGGUAAUACGGAGGGUGCAAGCGUUAUCCGGAAUCAUUGGGUUUAAAGGGUCCGCAGGCGGGCUAUCAAGUCAGAGGUGAAAUCCCACAGCUUAACUGUGGAACUGCCUUUGAAACUGAUGGUCUUGAAUUAAGUGGGCGUUGGCGGAAUAUGACAUGUAGCGGUGAAAUGCAUUGAUAUGUCAUGGAACACCGAAAGCGAAGGCAGCUAACGAUACUUAUAUUGACGCUCAUGGACGAAAGCGUGGGUAGCGAACAGGAUUAGAUACCCCGGUAGUCC
rnacentral:rRNA from 1 species